AGGCGAGGAAGGGGGUUGUGCGUGCGGCGAGGAGUGGCAACUGGUGAGGAAGGAGGUCGUGCGGCGAGCGGCAAGGAGGGAGGAGGAGAAGAGGAAGGGUCGCGAGCGGCGAGGAGGAGGAGGAGUAAAGGAGCAAUGGGUACCUAUUUUGGGGGGAGGGAAAGUGACGGACAGAUGGGGGGAAAUGGACGAUUGUGGGAGGGAAAGGAAAAAAAAUAAAUUUGGGUGGGGGGAGUGGACGAUGGUGGGGACUGGGGAGGGAAAGGAAAAUAAAUUUGGGGAUGUGGGGAAAUGGAUAAGGAAAAGAAGAGAGUUGGGUGGACUCUAAUGGGGAUUUUUUUUUAAUC
rnacentral:lncRNA from 1 species